CAUAUCAAUAAGCGGAGGAAAAGAAACCAACAGGGAUUGCCCUAGUAACGGCGAGUGAAGCGGCAAGAGCUCAAAUUUGAAAUCUGGCCCUAGCGGUCCGAGUUGUAAUUUGCAGAGGAUGCUUUUGGUGCGGUGCCUUCCGAGUUCCCUGGAACGGGACGCCAUAGAGGGUGAGAGCCCCGUACGGUUGGACACUUAGCCUCUAUAAAGCUCCUUCGACGAGUCGAGUAGUUUGGGAAUGCUGCUCUAAAUGGGAGGUAAAUUUCUUCUAAAGCUAAAUACCGGCCAGAGACCGAUAGCGCACAAGUAGAGUGAUCGAAAGAUGAAAAGCACUUUGAAAAGAGGGUUAAAUAGCACGUGAAAUUGUUGAAAGGGAAGCGUUUGCGACCAGACCUUCUCCGGGGGGAUCAACCGCUGUUCUCAGCGGUGCACUCCCCCCGGUUUAGGCCAGCAUCGGUUCUCUCAGGGGGAUAAAGGCCUGGGGAACGUAGCUCUUUAGGGAGUGUUAUAGCCCUCUGGCGCAAUACCCUU
rnacentral:rRNA from 1 species